GGAAUUUUCCGCAAUGGGCGAAAGCCUGACGGAGCAAUACCGCGUGAGGGAUGACGGCCUAUGGGUUGUAAACCUCUUUUUUAAUGGAGGAAAAAAAUGACGUGUACCUGAAGAAUAAGCAUCGGCUAACUACGUUCAAGCAGCCGCGGUAAGACGGAGGAUGCAAGUGUUAUCCGGAAUCACUGGGCGUAAAGCGUCUGUAGGUGGUCCAGUAAGUCAACUGUUAAAUCUUGAGGCUCAACCUCAAAACCGCAGUCGAAACUAUUGGACUAGAGUAUAGUAGGGGUAAAGGGAAUUUCCAGUGGAGCGGUGAAAUGCGUAGAUAUUGGAAAGAACACCGAUGGCGAAGGCACUUUACUGGGCUAUUACUGACACUCAGAGACGAAAGCUAGGGUAGCA
rnacentral:rRNA from 1 species